UCCAAAAUCGUUAAAAUAAACUCGCUUUUAGCAAAACGGUGGCGUUAACCAUUAAAGAGAUUCGCAAAUUGGGUGAGAAGGAAAUGGUCACUUAGCUUACCACCAGUGGAGUAGCGCGGCCUAGGCUGCUUGGGCGAUUCAUCGCCACGCCUUGCUAAAUAUAAUCGAUUUAUUCAAUUUAUAAACAACGAUUAGAAGUAUAGCGGAAAUUUUAAUAUGGAAAUAUCAACAUGACAGUUCGGUUUUCGACUUUAUCCUAGAGAAAAAUAUGAAUGGAAAAGAGAUGAACUAUGGUGACCGUUUCACCUUUUACUGCUUUGCGAAAUUCAGCUAAAAUCGUGUAAAAUUCUCUUCUGAGAUCCCUUUUUCAUUUAGCCUUAUAAAGCUAACAUGCAAUUGACGCAUUUAUGUGAAUGUUAAAAUCGUAUCUGUUGCAAUGAGAG